rnacentral:rRNA from 1 species
GGAGGAGAGGGAGCGGAGGAAGCCGCGGAACACGUGUGCCAAUGUCACACCCCACGCCCACGCGGCACAAGAGAAGAGAAUACUUCGUCCCAGUUGCAUCCAUACCUUGCCUUCUUCCCUCUCCCUUCACACCUCACACACCUUGCCUUCUUCCCUCCCGAGCGAGCGAGCAAGCAAGAGGAACCCCGCCGCCAGCUCCUCCGCGCAACGCAACGCAGGCGAGGCCCCGGCCGGCGAGUCGACAGUCGAGACCAUUUCUAUCCAUCCUCGGUAAGUAAUUUAUACAGUACAUCGCAUCACGGCUUGCGCGCUCCCCUGCUGCUUCAGUUCUUGCAGGCCAUGUUCGUUUAAUCCCCUCACCACAGGGAUUGAAGGGGAUUGGGGAGGUUUGAGGGAGAUUUUGACUUGCAAGGGAUUUUAUCCCUUUCAAACCCCUCCAAUCCAUGCCUAACCGAACAAGGCCGCCAAGGGGAAAAAAAGCUUCAGUUCUUGCAAGGGGAAAAAAGCAAAAUCCAGCAUCGGCUCUCGUUUAAUUUGGUAUUUGAUCAGUAAGGUGAGCUAGGAGGAUCCCCUGCCCUGCCCUGCCCUGCGCCCCCGGGUCUGCCAGGCCGAGGAUCGAUGGCCGGCGGCGGCACCAGCAUCAGGAAGUAUGUGGGCGCCCUCAAGGACUCCACCACCGUCAGCAUCGCCAAAGUCAACAGCGACUACAAGCAACUGGACAUCGCGAUCGUCAAGGCCACCAACCAUGUGGAGCGCCCUGCAAAGGAGAAGUACAUCAGAGACAUCUUCAUGCAUCUUAAUUCCGGGCGGGCUCGGGCCGACGUGGCCUACUGCAUCCGCGCCCUCGCCAGACGCCUCUCCAAGACGCGCAACUGGGCGGUUGCACUCAAGACAUUGAUUGUCAUACACCGUGCCCUUCGCGAGGUCGACCCUUCUUUCCGUGAUGAGCUCAUCAGUUAUGGAAGAUCUAGCGGCCAGAUGCUACACAUGUCCUAUUUCAAAGAUGACUCUAGCCCUGAUGCUUGGGAUCACUCUGCUUGGAUACGCAAUUACGCUUUGUUUUUGGAAGAGAGGCUCGAAUCUUUCCGUGUGCUGAAUUAUGACGUCGAACUGGAUCCAUUGGGAACACGAGAUGUUGAUACGACUGGUUUGCUUGCACAACUGCCGGCAUUGUCGCAACUUCUUUUUCGGCUAAUCAGUUGUCAGCCGCAUGGGUCAUCAUCUUAUAACACCAUAAUCCAGCAUGCUCUUUCAAUGGUUGCUACGGAGAGCGUUAGGAUCCAGACAGCCAUCAAUGAUGGCAUACUCAAUCUAGUUGACAAGUUUUUUGAUAUGCAUAGGGACGACGCUAUUAGGGCCCUGGACAUAUACAAAAAAGCACUUAAGCAGGCAGGGCAACUUUCUGGAUUUUACGAGACGUGUAAAACCAUACAUAUUGGGCGGGAUGAGAAGCUGUUAACAAUCGAACAGCCUCCCGCGUCAUUCUUGCAAGCCAUGGAAGAUUAUGUGAGAGAUGCUCCCCUUGCUUCAAAAAAUCAGGCUGUACUGGCAAUAGAGUACAACAGAAAACCAGAAGAGGAAGAAGCAUCAACUCCACCACCUCCUCCUCAAGUAUCAACUUCAGAGAAAGAACCAGAACCAGAGCCGGUUACAAAAGUCAUGCCUAGAGUCGAGCAAAUAGAUUUGCUGGGGAUGGAUGAGCCGAUCCCUGACACGUCCGAGCUAGAUCAAAAGAAUGCUUUGGCCUUAGCAAUUGUUGAACCAGAUAAUGCGCGUAAAGCUGCUGCUGGUUCCGAAAAUGUCGCCACCAGCUGGGAGCUAGCACUCAUCACAGAACCCAGUGCAAGUGAAAAUGUUGCUACUUCAAGAAAUUUGGCCGGUGGAAUGGAUCUGCUCACCCUCGACAGCCUCUACGACGACGCACACCAGCAUGCCCAGCAGAAUGUGAGCUACAAUCCCUGGGAGCAGCCGGCCCCGGCUUCGGCUCCGAUGAUGCAGCAGCAGUAUCAGCAGCAGCCGAUGCACAACCCGUUGUACGCCUCGGCGCAGCAGCAGCAGGCGUUCAUGCUCCAGCAGCAGCAGGCCUUCGUGCUCCAGCAGCAGCACCAGUACCAGCAGAUGAUGAUGAUGGGCGCGCCGUCGCUCCAUCGCCAGGCGUCCUCCAACCCAUCGCUCCAUCGCCAGGCGUCCUCCAACCCGUCGCUCCAUCGCCAGGCGUCCUCCAACCCGUCGUUCCAUCGUCAGGGAUCCUCCAACCCGUUCGACAGAUCAUAUGUGCCGGCAGCCGCCCCCGGUGGUGGUUACCCUUAUGCUCCGGCGAUGCAGCUCCACACCGGCAACGCCUACACCGGGACCGGCAUGAUGUAGAGAUGCUUGUGGUGGUUUUUCUUUUUGUUUCGCCGUUGCGAAUUUUUUACGAGUUAGUAGGAACCUGGUGUAUAGUUGAGAUGAGUAAUAGCAGGGGAAGUAUUUUUCCCCGGCUAUUUGUGGUCAGGACGGUUGCUUGUGCUGUGCAGCCGUGAAGUAUUAUUGUCCAGGGAAAUUAAAUUCUGGGAACAUGGUAACAAUGUUUGAAACAGGAGAAGAGAGAUGAACAUUGUGAAAAAAAGGUAUCAACAGAGCAACUUUUCUCUCUCUGUUGAGACAUGAGAAAAAACAGACAUUAUU